rnacentral:SRP_RNA from 1 species
GCCGGGCACGGUGGCUCAUGCCUGUAAUCCCAGCACUUUGGGAGGCUGAGGCAGGCAGAUGACAAAGUCAGGAGUUCAAGACUAGCCUGGUCAACAUAGUGAAACCCCAUCUCUACUAAAAAUACAAAAAAUUAGCCAGGUGUGGCUGGGAUUAGAGGUGCCCGCCACCAUGCCCGGCUAAUGUUUGUAUUUUUAGUAGAGAUGGGGUUUCACUAUGUUGGCCAGGCUGGUCUCCAACUCCUGACCUCAUGAUCUGCCUGCCUCGG